AGGCUCAAAGGCCCGAAUAGUAUCAUACGAUAUUCAAAUCAACAAGUUUCAUAUAACACAAUCACACCAAAUUAGGUACUAGCAUCAUUCGAAUAUAUCAUCCUACAUUUUAUUCACUUUUAUUUCAUUUCAUCAUUCACACUUAUCAUUUGAUAGUUUACACAUAACAUCUCACUCAUAUUCAUCUAACACUUAUCAUUU
rnacentral:lncRNA from 1 species